rnacentral:lncRNA from 1 species
AGUCUUCAUCUUUCUGACUGCAAAGGAGCCUGGGAAACAGCCUUUACAGGAAACGUUGUUGUCCCUAACAACAAAGAAGCUGUUGUUGACAGCACAGGAAGAAGAGGAAGGAUCAUCAGAUGAGGAGGAUGCAGAGGACAGAAGGAAGGAACCUCCUCCCCACUGACAGUCUGCAAAGCGUAGGUGAGGCCCUUCUCAUUUGGUGACUGAGGAAUGCGAGAUGGUUGCGUAGUGUAGGUGCCCCAGGAGCCUGGGAGACGGGAAGCAUCCUCCCUGAGUGACUUGACCUCCAUGCAACUUUGGAACAGCAGCUCAGACUCCUCCAAGCUGGGCUUCCUUCCUCCAGGAAGACACACCAGGGAGCCUUCCCUCCUGAAGCUUGUUCCCAAGUCAGGACAGGGCACCUGGUCACAGAUGGCAGCCAAGAAGCUGGUUUCAGAGGCCAGGCUGGUGCCCAGCAUGGAAACAAAGAGCUUCAGCAGCCUUCCUGAAACUAUAAGACAAGUUGGAGAAGGGACACCAGUGCUACGGAUGACGGAACCGAGCAGUGGAAGAGCCGCCUGCCUUGUUGGCUCUCCCAGGACGAAUCACUUCCUGCCCAAGAACAGUACAACUGUGAGAACAGAACCCGUUAGCCGUUUGAGAGCAAGUGAGCUUGGCUCCUUUGGGAGCCACUGAUAUUUAAUAAAUGUUGCUUUAUGUCCAGCUGAA